rnacentral:tRNA from 1 species
GUGCCGAUGGUGCAACGGUUAAGGCGUAGCAUCGCUGCCCGGAAAGCAGAAGGUGCGGGUUCGAGUCCCGCCUGACGCA